AAAAGAUUACCAAGAUUUACGAAAAAUGGUUAAAAAUUGACUAUAAAGGGCAAUAACUCCUAAAGGGGUCAACUGACCAUUUCCGUCAUGUUGACUUAUUUGUAAAUCUUACUUUGCUGAACAUUAUUCCUGUUUACAGUUUAUCUCUAUCUAUAAUAAUAUUCAAGAUAAUAACCAAAAACAGCAAAAUUUCUUUAAAAUUAUCAAUUCAGGGGCAAAAACCCAACAACAGGUUGUCUGAUUCAUCUGAAAAUUUCAGGGCAGAUAGAUCUUGACCUGAUAAACAAUUUUACCCACGUCAGAUUUGCUCUAAAUGCUUUGGUUUUUGAGUUAUAAGCCAAAAACUGCAUUUGACCCCUAUGUUCUAUUUUUUAGCAAUGGCGACCAUGUUUGUUGAUAGAUCAAAACUUCGGAUACAAUUUAUAAAUUAGAUACCCUAAGGAACAUUCAGUUAAAGUUUGAAAGCAUUUGGCCCAGUAGUUUCGGAGGAGAAGAUUCUUGAAAUAGUUUACGACGACGACAGACGACGACAGACGACGACAGACGACGGACGACGACGGACGCCAAGUGAUGGCAUAAGCUCACUUGUCCCUUCGGGACAGGUGAGCUAAAAAAACACACCAACUAAA
rnacentral:lncRNA from 1 species